rnacentral:rRNA from 1 species
UGCGAGUCGAACGCUUAGGGAUUCUUUUUGCGAAGAUAACCUAAGAGUGGCGCACGGGUGCGUAACGCAUCGAAAGAAUGCCCCUAGGAGGAAGGAAGGGCGUGCCCGAAUCUUCCAUAGGCUUCGGCCCUAAUCCGCACGAGUGGGUUAGCUAAAGGGCGGCAAGCCGCCUAGGGAUUUCUCGAUGUAGGCUCAGGUUGUUGGGGAGGUAAAAGCUCCCCAAGCCGACGACCCUUCGCCGGUCUUCGCGGACGAUCGGCCACAUGGGGACUGAGACAAGGCCCCAACGUUUCUACGGCAGCAGUGUGGAAUCUUGGGCAAUGGGGGCAACCCUGACCCAGCUAUGUCGCGAGGGCGAGAACGGCUGUAAACGGUAUCAGGUCGUAAAGCUCUGUCGGCAGGGAGGAAAAUGACGUACCCUGCGGAAGCUAGCUCCGGCCAACCUCGUGCCAGCAGCCGCGGUAAUACGAGGGGAGCAAGUGUUCUACGGUCAAACUGGGCGUAAAGGGUUCUCCGGCGGAAGUGGGCGUGUAGGAUGAGAGCAUUCCGCCUGUUAAGCGGGAUCGUCUCCUAAACUCCAUUUCAUGAGUUGGAGCGGCGAGGGCGGAAGUCCAGGACGAGCGUUAGCAUGCUUAGACGCCUGGAGGACGGCCACGGGCGCAGGCCUCCCUCGAGCUCCGACUGACGCUUCGGAACGAAAGCGUGGGGAGCGAUCGGGAUUAGAGACCCCGGUAGUCCACGCCCUGAUCGAUAGGAAGUGGAGAUGCGCGUCAGCGUGUGUUUCCUUGUUAACGCAAAACUUCCUCGCCUGAGAAGUACGGCCGCAAGGUUGAAACUCAAAGGAAUUGACGGGGGCCUUUUGCAAACGGUGGAACAUGUGGUUUAAUUCGAUGAUCCGCGCAAAACCUU